UUAGCCUAGUGGUUAAGGCUAUGGAUCGCCAAUCCAGACAGAGACGGCGGGUUCGAUUCCCGUA
rnacentral:tRNA from 1 species